rnacentral:rRNA from 1 species
GUGAGGAAUAUUGGUCAAUGGGCGGGAGCCUGAACCAGCCAAGUCGCGUGAAGGAAGAAGGAUCUAUGGUUCGUAAACUUCUUUUGCAGGGGAAUAAAGUGCAGGACGUGUCCUGUUUUGUAUGUACCCUGAGAAUAAGGAUCGGCUAACUCCGUGCCAGCAGCCGCGGUAAUACGGAGGAUCCGAGCGUUAUCCGGAUUUAUUGGGUUUAAAGGGUGCGUAGGUGGUUUGAUAAGUCAGCGGUGAAAGGUUGCAGCUUAACUGUAAAAAUGCCGUUGAAACUGUCGGACUUGAGUGUAAAUGAGGUAGGCGGAAUGCGUGGUGUAGCGGUGAAAUGCAUAGAUAUCACGCAGAACUCCGAUUGCGAAGGCAGCUUACUAAGCUACAACUGACACUGAAGCACGAAAGCGUGGGGAUCAAACAGGAUUAGAUACCCCAGUAGUCC